rnacentral:rRNA from 1 species
GCUGGCGGCAGGCCUAACACAUGCAAGUCGGGCGGUAACAGGGAUAGCUUGCUAUCUGCUGACGAGCGGCGGACGGGUGAGUAAUGCAUAGGAAUCUGCCUGGUAGUGGGGGAUAGCCCAGAGAAAUUUGGAUUAAUACCGCAUACGCCCUACGGGGGAAAGCAGGGGAUCUUCGGACCUUGCGCUAUCAGAUGAGCCUAUGUCGGAUUAGCUUGUUGGUGAGGUAACGGCUCACCAAGGCGACGACCCGUAGCUGGUCUGAGAGGAUGAUCAGCCACACUGGGACUGAGACACGGCCCAGACUCCUACGGGAGGCAGCAGUGGGGAAUAUUGGACAAUGGGCGCAAGCCUGAUCCAGCCAUGCCGCGUGUGUGAAGAAGGCCUUCGGGUUGUAAAGCACUUUCAGCGAGGAGGAAAGGGGUUGUUGCUAAUAUCAAUGCCCUGUGACGUUACUCGCAGAAGAAGCACCGGCUAACUCCGUGCCAGCAGCCGCGGUAAU